GGCGUGGUGGCCUAGUGGUUAAGGGCGACGGACUGCUAAUCCAUUUGCUGUUAUGGGUUCGAGUCCCACCCUCGUCG